GAUUGGCGUUCCCCUUCGGGGGACAGGGUGACAGGUGGUGCAUUGGGUUGUCGUCAGCUCGUGUCGUGAGAUGUUCGGGUUAAGUCCCGCAACGAGCGCAACCCUCGCCUCUAGUUGCCAGCAUUCGGUUGGGCACUCUAGAGGGACUGCCGGCGACAAGUCGGAGGAAGGUGGGAUGACGUCAAAUCAUCAUGCCCCUUAUGACCUGGGCUACACACGUGCUACAAUGGGCGGUACAAAGGGCUGCGAACCCGCGAGAGUAUGCUAAAUCUCAAAAAGCCAUCCUCAGUUCGGAUUGGAGUCAGCAACUCGACUCCAUGAAGUUGGAAUCGCUAGUAAUCGCGGAUCAGCAUGCCGCGGUGAAUACCGUUCCCGGGCCUU
rnacentral:rRNA from 1 species